AGUGGCGGACGGGUGAGUAACGCGUGAAUCUGCCUUGGGGUCGGGGACAACCACUGGAAACGGUGGCUAAUACCGGAUAAGCCGAUUGGUGAAAGAUUUAUUGCCCGAAGAGGAGCUCGCGUCUGAUUAGCUAGUUGGUGAGGUAAGAGCUCACCAAGGCAGCGAUCAGUAGCUGGUCUGAGAGGACGAUCAGCCACACUGGGACUGAGACACGGCCCAGACUCCUACGGGAGGCAGCAGUGGGGAAUUUUCCGCAAUGGGCGAAAGCCUGACGGAGCAAGACCGCGUGAGGGAGGAAGGCUCUUGGGUUGUAAACCUCUUUUCUCAGGGAAGAAGCUCUGACGGUACCUGAGGAAUCAGCCUCGGCUAACUCCGUGCCAGCAGCCGCGGUAAUACGGAGGAGGCAAGCGUUAUCCGGAAUUAUUGGGCGUAAAGCGUCCGCAGGUGGCGAUUCAAGUCUGCUGUCAAAGCACGGGGCUUAACUCCGUAAAGGCAGUGGAAACUGAAUAGCUAGAGUGCCGUAGGGGUAGAGGGAAUUCCCGGUGUAGCGGUGAAAUGCGUAGAGAUCGGGAAGAACAUCGGUGGCGAAAGCGCUCUACUGGACGGCAACUGACACUCAGGGACGAAAGCUAGGGGAGCGAAUGGGAUUAGAUACCCC
rnacentral:rRNA from 1 species